AUGACGCUCGACGCGCAGUACCUCCGGGGCACCAUGGCCGCCAUCUACUCGCUGCUCAAGCACGCCUCCUGCCUGGAGUCGCUCUUCUUCCAAUUCCUUGCCGCCGACGGCGGCGCCGCGCCCGGGGUGGGUGAGCUCCGGAGCGCGCUCGCCGCCUCCUUCCCGCCGCUGCGGUUCGAGAUCUACCCGUUCCGGGCCGACGCCGUCACAGACCUCAUCUCCGCCUCGGUGCGCGCCGCGCUCGAGGCGCUGCUCAACUACGCCACGAACUACCUCAUCUUCGCGGGCCGCCGCCGCGCGCCCUGCUACUUCAACAUCGUCGUCAUGGUCAUCGACCUCCGGCGCUGGCACUCGGGGAAGCACCCGCCCGUGCCAUGCGGCGGCGUGUGCCCGCACUGCCGCCGCGACCGCCUCCUCCGCCUCUGCCCCGACUGCGCGCGGACGCGCCCCUGCCCCUGCUCCUGCUGCUUGCUAGCCGCGCUACUGCUUCGUGGCUUGACCGCUGCUCUGCUGCUGCUGACGCCCGCUGCCGUAGCCGGCCGCUACUGUUGCCUGAUGCUGCUGCUCCUUGCUGAUGUCGCCGCCACUGCCUGUGCGCGCCGGUGCCCACUCUGGCCCGUGCUUGUUGGCCGCGACCCGCGCGCCAUGCCCAUCGCUGUUCCCGUCCGCCCCUGGUGCGCUCCCCUUGUGCCCGCCUCUGCCCCGACUGCCAGCUAG
rnacentral:rRNA from 1 species